GGACCAUGAAGUUGGGGUAAAAACUCUAUUUUGGCAUUUAAAUUAGAAAGAUCAUAUCACAGGGAACAUGUAUACUAAGUUUCAAGUUGAUUGGACUUCAACUUCAUCAAAAACUACCUUGACCAAAAACUUUAACCUGAAAUUUGCACUAUCAUUUUCUAUGUUCAGUGAACCGUGAAAUUGGGUCAAAACACUAAUUUGGCAUUAAGAUUAGAAAGAUCAUAUCAUAGGGCACAUGUGUACUGAGUUUCAAUUUGAUUGGACUCCAACUUCAUCAAAAACUACCUUGACCAAAAACUUUAACCUGAAGUGGGACGAACGAACCAAAGGACAGAGGGACGGACAAAAGGACGAACGAAUGAAUGGACGCACAGACCAGAAAACAUAAAGCCCCUCUACUAUCGUAGGUGGGGCAUAAAAACAGACAGAUAUACUCAUUCAAUUCAAAAUCUUAUCAUACAAAUCAAAAUCAUGUUCUCUCAUUAUUCUUAAUAUGGCUAAGCCAGUGUUCUGCAUUAGCAAACCAAUAUAACUAUCUGGUUGAAAAUAGAAACAG
rnacentral:lncRNA from 1 species